rnacentral:lncRNA from 1 species
UUGACUGUUGCUUCUUGACUUGUGGAGUUAACACUAUGAUCUUGAAGAGUGUUCAUUAGAUCUCCAAUUUGGAACACCUCUUCCUUCUCUAGUACAGUGCUUCAACACUUCUGUUUGCCUCGACUGUUCUUAGAUACUAAUGGCUUGACUCCUUGUUCUGGCCCCUUCUGAAUAACAAGACACUUCAUAUUUGUGGCGUGUCCAGCUCGCUUUCUCCUUGUGAUCUCCUGUUCACUUAUCAUCAAUAGGCUGACCCAAUGCUUAAUCACUUUAG